UACGUAGGGUGCAAGCGUUGUCCGGAAUUAUUGGGCGUAAAGAGCUCGUAGGCGGUUUGUCGCGUCUGCUGUGAAAACUCGGGGCUUAACUCCGGGCCUGCAGUGGGUACGGGCAGACUAGAGUGCGGUAGGGGAGACUGGAAUUCCUGGUGUAGCGGUGAAAUGCGCAGAUAUCAGGAGGAACACCAGCGGCGAAGGCGGCGCUCUGGGCCGGAACUGACGCUGAGGAGCGAAAGCGUGGGUAGCAAACAGG
rnacentral:rRNA from 1 species